UACAGAGGGGGCAAGCGUUAUUCGGAAUUAUUGGGCGUAAAGGGCGCGUAGGCGGCUUUGCAAGUGACGGGUGAAAAUCCCUCGGCUUAACCGAGGAACUGCCUGUCAAAACUGCAUGGCUUGAGACCGGGGAGAGGUGAGUGGAAUUCCCAGUGUAGCGGUGAAAAUGCGUAGAUAUUGGGGAGGAACACCAGUGGCGAAGGCGGCUCACUGGACCGGUACUGACGCUGAGGCGCGAAAACGUGGGGGACAAACAGGG
rnacentral:rRNA from 1 species